UGUAGUCAUAUUUGUGUCUCAAAGAUUAGCCAUGCAUGUCUAGUAUAGCACCAUACUUCUAGCGAAACUGCGGAUGGCUCAUUAAAUCAGUUAUCGUUUAUUUGAUCGUCCCCUCCUACUCGGAUAUCCGUGGUAAUUCUAUAGCCAAUACGUGCCUGUGCCGCCCCACCGAUUUCGGGGGGGUGGCACGCGUUUGUUUGAUUGCAAGCCAAUGCCUUCGGGCUUUCUGGUGAAUCAUGACAACCCGCGGAUCGCACGGCCUUGCGCCGGCGAUGGUUCAUUCAAAUUUCUGCCCUAUCAACUUUCGACGGCUGGGUAGUGGCCAGCCGUGGUGACAACGGGUGACGGAGAGUCAGGGCUCGACUCCGGAGAGGGAGCCUGAGAAACGGCUACCACAUCCAAGGAAGGCAGCAGGCGCGCAAAUUACCCAAUGCCGACCCGGMSAGGUAGUGACGAGGAAUACUGAUGCAGGGCCCUUCUGGGUCUUGCAAUUGGAAUGAGUGCGAUUUAAACCCCCCUAACGAGGAACAACUGGAGGGCCAGUCUGGUGCCAACAUCCGCGGUAAUUCCAGCUCCAGUAGCGUAUAUUAAAGUUGUUGAGGUUAAAAAACUCGUAGUUGAACCUCGGGCUCCGCCCGCCGGUCCGCCUCAUCGCGUGCACUGGCCCUGCGGCGGUCGUACUCCCUGGCAACUCGCAUGCCCUGUACU
rnacentral:rRNA from 1 species